rnacentral:misc_RNA from 1 species
CAACAACAGCUAUAGCAAUAACAUGGAUGGAUACGUUUUUUUGAUGACAAAGGAAACCCGUAGCCGCCACCCUUUGGAUGCUCACAAGGUAACAUGGAUGGAUAUCUUGUAUUCAACGAAAAGUUAACCGCAGCAAACAACAGCAAGAAGUAUGUCAUAAUACCAAGCAAGUUGGAUAGUGAAGAGUUAACAAGUUGCUCGAAAGACGACAGGAUGUUACAAUGUCAGUUAUGAGGGUGACAAAUAUGUCAGGACACCAUUGAUGGUGGGAUAGCAGGUGUCCAGUGGAAUAGUUGAGGUGUGCACACGCUAUAGCAUGAACGCCAUCGUUGGGGAAAAU